rnacentral:misc_RNA from 1 species
GGCGGCGGGGAUAUUGGUGGCGUUCGCGUGGCCGUCGAGCAACGAGCGGGACCUCGAGCCGUUCGUCGAGCUGUACGAGUCCCUCGGCUGGAGCUCGCUUAUCUGCCAUGUCGACCUCCUCACCCUAUUUCUCCCGGAGAAGGCCACGUCACUAGCCUGCGUCGUUCUUAAUAAGCUUUUGAAGGAAGUGAGAAUUAGGCCAGUGCCUAUCGUGCUC